rnacentral:rRNA from 1 species
ACGCUGGCGGCGUGCUUAACACAUGCAAGUCGAACGAUGAAGCUGGAGCUUGCUCCAGUGGAUUAGUGGCGAACGGGUGAGUAACACGUGAGAAAUCUGCCCCUGACUCUGGGAUAACUGCGGGAAACUGUAGCUAAUACCGGAUACUUUCCCCGGUGGGCAUCCACUGGGGAAGAAAGAAUUUCGGUCAGGGAGGAUCUCGCGGCCUAUCAGCUUGUUGGUGAGGUAACGGCUCACCAAGGCGACGACGGGUAACCGGCCUGAGAGGGUGACCGGUCACACUGGGACUGAGACACGGCCCAGACUCCUACGGGAGGCAGCAGUGGGGAAUAUUGCACAAUGGGCGCAAGCCUGAUGCAGCAACGCCGCGUGAGGGAUGACGGCCUUCGGGUUGUAAACCUCUUUUAGCAGGGAAGAAGCGAAAGUGACGGUACCUGCAGAAAAAGCACCGGCUAACUACGUGCCAGCAGCCGCGGUAAUACGUAGGGUGCAAGCGUUGUCCGGAAUUAUUGGGCGUAAAGAGCUCGUAGGCGGUUUGUCACGUCUGCUGUGAAAAUCCAAGGCUCAACCCUUGGACUUGCAGUGGGUACGGGCAGGCUAGAGUGCGGUAGGGGAGAUGGGAAUUCCUGGUGUAGCGGUGGAAUGCGCAGAUAUCAGGAGGAACACCAAUGGCGAAGGCACAUCUCUGGGCCGUAACUGACGCUGAGGAGCGAAAGCGUGGGGAGCGAACAGGAUUAGAUACCCUGGUAGUCCACGCCGUAAACGGUGGGUGCUAGCUGUGGGCCACAUUCCACGUGGUCCGUGACGAAGUUAACACAUUAAGCACCCCGCCUGGGGAGUACGGCCGCAAGGCUAAAACUCAAAGGAAUUGACGGGGACCCGCACAAGCGGCGGAGCAUGCGGAUUAAUUCGAUGCAACGCGAAGAACCUUACCAAGGCUUGACAUAUAGAGGAAAAGUGCAGAAAUGCACUCCCCGCAAGGUCUCUAUACAGGUGGUGCAUGGUUGUCGUCAGCUCGUGUCGUGAGAUGUUGGGUUAAGUCCCGCAACGAGCGCAACCCUCGUCCUAUGUUGCCAGCACGUUAUGGUGGGAACUCAUGGGAUACUGCCGGGGUCAACUCGGAGGAAGGUGGGGAUGACGUCAAAUCAUCAUGCCCCUUAUGUCUUGGGCUUCACGCAUGCUACAAUGGCCGGUACAGAGGGCUGCAAUACCGUAAGGUGGAGCGAAUCCCAAAAAGCCGGUCUCAGUUCGGAUUGAGGUCUGCAACUCGACCUCAUGAAGUCGGAGUCGCUAGUAAUCGUAGAUCAGCAACGCUACGGUGAAUACGUUCCCGGGCCUUGUACACACCGCCCGUCAAGUCACGAAAGUCGAUAACACCCGAAGCCGGUGGCCUAACCGCAAGGAGGGAGCCGUCGAAGGUGGGAUUGGUGAUUGGGACU